rnacentral:tRNA from 3 species
AGCGGCAUGGCCAAGUGGUAAGGCAAGGGACUGCAAAUCCUUUAUCCCCAGUUCAAAUCUGGGUGUCGCUU